rnacentral:pre_miRNA from 1 species
AAUAGUUUUAUGUCACAUCAGUAUUUUUAUCUUGAAUUUUAAGAUUUUAUCUUAAAAAAAUCAAAUCAAAAUUAAAAUACUAAAAUUCAGGAUAAAAAUACUGAUGUGACAUAAAACUAUU